rnacentral:rRNA from 1 species
UACGUAGGGUGCGAGCGUUGUCCGGAAUUAUUGGGCGUAAAGGGCUCGUAGGCGGUUUGUCGCGUCGGGAGUGAAAACCUUGGGCUUAACUCAGGGCUUGCUUUCGAUACGGGCAGACUAGAGGUAUGCAGGGGAGAACGGAAUUCCUGGUGUAGCGGUGAAAUGCGCAGAUAUCAGGAGGAACACCGGUGGCGAAGGCGGUUCUCUGGGCAUGAUCUGACGCUGAGGAGCGAAAGUGUGGGAGCGAACAGG